AGCCUAGUGGACAUGGCAUCUGCUCGGUAAGCGGAACACUGUGGGUUCGAUUCCCAU
rnacentral:tRNA from 1 species